UACGGAGGAUGCAAGCGUUAUCCGGAUUGAUUGGGCGUAAAGCGUCUGUAGGUGGUUACGCUAGUCGGCUGUUAAAGAUCAGGGCUGAACCCUGAGCAAGCAGUCGAAACUGCGUGGCUGGAGUACGGUAGGGGCAGAGGGAAUUCCCGGUGGUAGCGGUGAAAUGCGUAGGAUAAUCGGGAAGAACACCAAAGGCGAAAGCGCACUGCUGGGCCGAAACGUGACACAUGAGAGACGAAAGCUAGGGAGACGUGGACUUAGGAGUCGAACC
rnacentral:rRNA from 1 species